CUCCAAAUAUUUCUCCACGAGUUGCCAUUCUUGGACAUUCUCUUCGAAAGUUUUCCUCUUGGAGAUGAAUUAUCUUUAGACAUCUCAACCUCAAGGUCAUCAUCAUCUAUCCAAUCCCCAGGUGAAUGCCAGCGAAUAAAAUCUUCAAAAACAGCUUUUGGAUUUGCUGCUUUAAAUGCUGACAUGUCUAACAUUAUCAAAGCAAAUUACUGUUUCGUCAUGACCUUAUUAUCGCAUAUUAGAAUCCUGCAUUCGUUCUUAUAGCAACUCUUUUCUAAAAUACAUAUUUAUAGAUACAGUUUAUUCAUAACAAAAUAGGGUCAAGAGAGGAUUUCGUGAGGACGGGAUACACUGUCACUAACAUCACACCAAUUAAAAAGAUUUUAUAGAACCUUUCCUUGCCAAAAAUACAUUAAAAACAAAUUUAGUUCGUUAGUUUAUCUUAAAAAAUUAACAUGCAACAGUUGAAAAUGGAAUAGAAAAUGAAUGAUUUCAUUCAGUCUUAGAAAUGCGCAAGUUGUCUUAAAUUGGUAGAUAUGGUCAACAAAUAAUACGUGUAAUUCAAUACUAGGUAUAUGAAAAUCCUCUUCCUUUGAAUAUAUUGGAAGUCCCACAUCAACUAGAAAUAAUAAGUGAGUACAAUCCUCACUUAACAAACUAGUUUUACAAAGAUGAAUUAAGUUCAAACUUACAACCUAAUAUGGUAUUAGAAUCUGUAUUAGCAAGGUUUGAUGGCCUAUCAUACCACCUACUAUCGGCCACCUACAAUUAUCUAGUCGGUUUCUUGAGAAUAAGUUAGAUUUAAAAUCUCUUCCUUGUAAUUCAAUGAUGAUGGUAGAUCAAAUCUUUACAGAAAUGUCAAAGCAUCAUCAUCAAUUAUUCUAAGCAUUUAGAUUUUUUUGACAUAUCAUAGCUCUACAUCCAGAUUUGACAUUUUUUUCUCCAGAAAAAUAUAUCCGUAACAUGAUUAUAAAUUAUAAUAACUAAAAUAAUAGUGAUUUAAAAUAAGGGGACAAGCCUGCCCCUGAGAUUUAACUCCUAAUGCAAGCAGCUUACAUUACAAUAAAAGCCAUCAAAAGUCAUUUGAUUCUAUCCACUAAUGGAUGUUAAAAUUAAGUUAGACGGCCAUAUUACAGUUACCUGAAGCUAACGUGUCCCUUUCCACCAGGGUAGAGAAAUUCUGCAAAAAGAAUAACAGGGAAUGGUUAGCAACAAUGUAAUGUAUGAAAGGUCGAAUCACAUGCGUAUGGCAUCUACUUUUUGAAUCCUGAAGUGUGUUCUCUUUACUCCUAAAACUGAAAGCAAAAUAUGCACGGGAACUAAGUCACUACGUACUCACAACAUUAAUUAUACAAGUGUGAGCUUAGAUGGGUGCUCAUAAAACUAAUUUUUAUGAUAAAAGAAAAUUAGUAUUAAAAUUCCGUGUAAUUCUUCUUAUCAAAGUUGAUUCCACUCGGAAUCAUUUCUGAUUGUCUUCCCUUUGAAAUAUGUGAUAGGAGGUCUUUGGUCUACCACUCAGAUUUUAGAGUUAACUAAUAUUAUAGGCAUUGCAUAACAACUUAAACAUACGAAUGAAUCGCUAAAGUCUUCAACAUCCUGGGGGCACUCCUCAUGCAUGUCUUCUGUCAUAAGUGGUGCUUCCUGCGGCAUAGCAGACAAGACCCAAGAUAUCAUAUUCAAAAAUUGUGAAGUAGAACACCACAUAAUGACAACGUCAACUGGUGUGUUGAAGUUGGAGAAACCUGGGUGUAUGGAGCAUGCAUGCUUUCAUUUGACUUUAGAAGCAUCAUAGCAUCAGCAAUACUAGCUGAACCUCUCCUGGUGAUAUCUGAAGGUUUUUUAUCGUCACCAUCUGAAUGCUUUCCACUAAAUGCAGAUACUGUUUUAACGGAAUAAUGGAUAUCACCAGCAGUGGGAAAGCUGCAGCAGAAACAAAAAUCAUACACCAUGUAUGCUACAAAAUACUUAAAUUACUUACAAGGAUACAUGAGCAAAAAUUGUAAGUAAAGGUGCAAAUCCAUUAUUUGUCUGAAAACAUCUUACAUGCAAAAGCGACAUAGAAAAGGUGAUGGAUAGAAAUACUAGUGUAUGUACUCUACUAUAACAAUAGAGAAGAAAAAGGUAAAGCCUCCGUCAACAGUCUAAAACUAUCCAAACUCUUCAUAUUCUAGCUCUUGAGGUAAUAUGUACAAAAUGAACCGUCAUAACAUAUUAGACUCCUGAACUGGUCUUUGACAAUUGAAAAAUAUUUGAAUUUCAGAAACUAAAAUAUGCUUGGAAGUUAAGAAAUACAAAGACCUCAAUGAAAGUAAAUACGUUUUAGCAGUGAUCAAAUAUGAUUUAGAAGCAAUGCAAAUAACCAAGCAUGCUCCUUUGCUGAUCAAAGUAAUAAAAAAAUAAAAACCAAGCAUGCUCCAACUUGCUAAGUUCACCUGUCAACAUUCCCAGAAAAAUCCCCACAGCUUAUACGCAUUUUGAAUGAGUCAUCCCCAACCACACUUUCCUCCUGAAAUUACAUUCGCUAACUAUUUAUGUUCACAAUGCAAAUUAAUUUUAAAAAAAAAAAUUAGUAACUUCAGAAACACAAUAUUCAAUCUAACUGCAAACAACAGGAAAGCAAAGUUUGUGACCUCAGUCAUAGACUCAAUUUGAUCUUCACUACCAAUACAAUCUUGAUAAUCUUCAUUCACUUCGCACUUCUUCUCAAUGCAUACUGCAAGCUGAAUAGCAAAGCGAAAAACAGAAUCCCCAUCUUAGGUAUAUCACCAUGAAUUCUAUACAAUACAAACACCAAUAUUUAACAGCUCAAUAUAUCAUUUCUUAUUUGACCUAAAAACUACAUCGAAGGUAAAAUAGAAUUUCAAUUUGGCCACAUUACAAGAAAAGAAGUAUGAAGCAGGGAAGUUAAGGAUAAAAACUACUUUAAGCUUUAAACCAAAAUUGUCAACGACUAAAGCUUUCUGUUUAUAAUACACAAUAAUUAACGAUGAUAAAAGAAAAAACAAUAAAUUGAUUAAAAAAAGGGAGCCCAUAUUCAAAGCAAGUAAAUAUAUAAUUUAUCGUAUUAAAAAAAUGCACGGCAAUUGAAGAGAAAUAAUCUAUACAAAUUGAAAAACGGUAGUUGAGAAUGUUCUAGGAAAUUAAGAUUUCAAACAAAAUUUCACAUUAAAAUAUAUGAAAAAUAAACAAGAAUGUGCGAAAUAUAUUUCAUCAAAUAUCCUUUAAAGAUUAUUAAACAAAAAUUACCAUCUGAAGUUUUUGGUUAAUCAAGCAAGUGGAAAGGUCAAUUGGACCAUUUGCUGGCAUUCGAGGGAUUAAUUGUGACUCUUCCCAACACCUCCUAACCUCCCGUACAAACUCUAUCCAUAGGACAGCAAUAGCUGAUAUACAGACCAAAAUGAAGUCAUGCAAUUGAUAAUAUACAAUACAAGCAAGAUAUCUCAAAAAUUCAAUCCAACCAUGGUGGUCAAAUUUUGCUAAUUUUUAAGGUUAUGCACCAAUAAAAACCUCACUCUGGUACAUACCUCUAAUGUUGCAAUAUCCAAACCAAAGAGAAUGUAAACAAAAUUGUGCAAAGAGUGAUUCAAGAGGUGCGCCUUUUAUAGCUCCCGAAGUCUUAUUUCCCCCAUAAGCAGAGUAUGUGACCUGUACUCCUGUAGAUAUUAUGGAAUCAAUUUUAUAACAAAAUAAACAGUGAUCUACUUUGAACUUUAACAUCCAAAUAACCCUGAAAGCUAUGUUAGGCAUCCCAAGGAUACUUGGAAAAUGCAGCAAUCAGAUAUAAAUCAAAAUCCUGAAAAUAAGUUUCAUGAAUCAUGUGGUAAACAAAAAGAAGAUGAAAUAAGAAAACGUCCCCAAAGUGUUCAAUAGAUUGAAAUAUUCUCUUAUUUCUUAUGAUCUGCAUGUAAGACAACCAAGGGUUCUUUUCAAGAACUUGAAAUAUAGCACUUGUAAAUUUCUUAGUUGUUUGGUAAUGAAUUCAUAAUAUCCUUUUGUAUAUAUCUAUGUGGCAAUAGUGGCCCUAUUAACUACUGCAACAAGUUGGAUAGAACAAAGCAAACAGCAAUCCAGUUCCUAUGCAGCAAUAGAGUCACUAAAGUAGCUUUGAAACAAGAACAACCAAUUUCAAUUUCUGUAUACUACAUUUACCUUGCCAUACACGAUUGUUUUUGUAAACCUUCCCUAUAUUACUCAAUCUGUUUUCCAUUUCUGAGAAAGCACUCUACCUUCUCAAUGAUGAUAUAUCGAAAUAUCAAACGAGUUAACUUCCUUAAACACUACUAAAUAAAAUCGUAGUAAAGAUUCAAUCUUCUAUUAUUCAAGACAAAUCAGCACAGUCCAUAAUCAAAGGAGAAUUUUACAUGCCUAAUGAAAGCUACUUUCUGUCUGUUCUCCUAGUAUAAUUUGUGCUUGAAUCUGAUUAAAUAUCAAUUUGGAGGUGAGUUGUACUGUGCUACCAUGGCAUUCGCACAUUGCCCUGUUGGCAGAUUUAUUGACCAUCAAUUGGAUACAGGUGCAGAAUUUAUAAACUGCCACCAAUGCAAGAUGCCAGUGAAAAUGGUGCACUGAAGCAUUCAUACAAAUGAGAAACAAAAUAGAGGAAGGGGGAAGAACUAAGUGCCUUCUUGAAAUAGCUCUUUCAGCACUUGAUCGCUGACAGUUGGUGGCAGUAUAACCAUUGAGGAAUUCAAAUUCUCAGAACCAGAGUUAUCAUCUGCUACAGGCCAGAAGAAAGAAAAUGUUACACUACUAUACCAAUUAUUGAUAGCAUUAUCAACUAAUGCAAAACCUGCAGGAAUAGCAAAAUAUACUAGUAUAUACACCAAAACAGAUUCAAACCUGAAACAAAAUUUUCCAUAAAUUGGGCCUUGAACGACAUUUUCAACGCAUCAACUAGAAUAUGCAACUGGGAUGCAAAUCCAAUUUGAUUCCAUUCAGAAACUUCAGGCCUGUAUGAUUGAACAAAAUAUAUAAUAACUAGCAAAACCUAUUUAGAUCUCAUUCAGUUCAGCUUUUAUUUAAAAAAAAAAAAAAAAACAUUAUUUUGAAAAAAAAAAAAAAACUUUCAAAAUAUGUGUUUUUCUAAACUUUACAAAAGCCAGAGUAAAAAAAAAGAUUUCUAAUUAUUGAGAAGUUAUGCUAGGAACCAAGAAUUGAAAAGAGCAAGAAAAGAAAAGGUUUUAUUGAAUAUAAUGAAAAGAAGAAGAAAUAAGAGAGCACCCUGCCCUUCAAUGAUAGACUUCUUAGGUCAAGAAGUCUAUCUUUCCCUCAAAACAGCACAUCCACACAGAAUACUGGGCAACAACAGUACUGAAUAUUAUUCUGAUGAACAAGAAUACAAAUGUACAGCACCCAACUCUCAAGGGAGCACUCUCCCUCUACAGGAACAACUAAUUGCUAAACUACCCAACAACAACUAAUUGCUAAACUGUUUUCUCUUUCCUGUGCACCUAUUACCCAUUAAAACCUAUCAUAUUAUAUCCUAUCAUUCAAGACACCUUCACAAAGAGCUAAAGAUCAAUAUACAAAACUUCACCUUUUCCCUCUCCUCUCCUUCUUUUCUAUUUCUCUUCUAUGUGUAUCCUAACAAGUUACUUGGAGUAGCUUCUUAAAAGAAGUUGCGAUUAACUAACUAUAACUAAUAUUUUACAUAAAAAAAAUGGUUUUACAAUUUAAUCCAACAAAAUAUAGCUUCAACUUCCCAUAAACAAUCUAAGAACAAGUCACAUUUUUUAAAAGUGUGGAUAUAUGAGCCAUUGAGAAGUAUUAGAAACUGAUCAGAUUUCAAUAAUAAAAUCCAUUUGUAGUUGCACGAUGUUAGAUAUAUUAUAUAUUUAUCUUUUAUCUUUAGUUAGAUUAUUAUUAUUUCUUAUUUCUAUUUUGGGCUUAGCCCAUAUUUCUUCUAUUAUAAAUAAAGGACCCUAUGUGUAUAUUCAACACAAGAGAGAUUAAUCUUAUAUUCAACUUAGUAUCAGAGCAGGUCGAUCCUGCUCUGGUUUCCGUCUCGCCAGCGCUAAUGCCCGCCGCUGUUCACCGUCACCCGUUGGCCACAUUCCGUCGUCGACCGCCGUCACAGUUCCAUCUGUCUAAAUCCUUAGGGUUUUCUUGUUCCUCGCUGAUGUGAUUCGUCUUCUUCAGAGAUGGCAUCUAGCAGUACUAUUUCCUUCUCCGAAAGUCCAUCAAUUACCUCCGAGAAGCUAAAUGGAAAAAAUUAUCUAUUAUGAUUUGCUACCAUUGAAAUGUGGUUCCUUGGCCAAGGGCAUUAUGACCACCUUGAGUGAGAUGGAAGCCAUGUGCGUGCUGAAAAAGUUGAUCUGUGGAAACAAGCAGAUUUCCAGUUGUGUGCCCUGUUAUGGCAAUCAGUGGAACCCAUACUUCUUAUAUCUCCGAGGGCUUUCAAAACUUGUCACUCCCUUUGGAAGAAAGCUCAAAGCAUUUAUGUCAACGAUAUUCAACGUCUUUAAAUUAUGACACUACAAACAAGUUUGCAUCUCUUAAAAUGGCAGACCAUGAUAUGGUGUCCUUCAUGGUUGAAGCCCGAUCUGUUGUCGAAGAACUCAAGAUGUUAUCGGAAGCGGACCCAUUAGAGGAUAUCAAGAAGAAACUAGACAAAUUUUACAUGGUGUUGAUCCUUCGUGCCCUACAUCCCAAUUUUGAUCAUCUUAGAGAUCAACUUCUGAUCGAUUAUGAGGUCUCCUCCAUAGAAACAUUAACCACUCGCCUUUUGCGUGUCCUGGUACCUUAAACUCAGGAAGCGCAUGAAAUAGUGAAGCCAUCAGUCAUGGUUGCCACACUUCUCUUGGGAAAUGUGUUUGCUUAAUAGUAUAUGUUGAUGAUGUUGUUAUCAUAGGAAAUGAUGUUGUUGGAAUAUCUCAACUGAAAGAGUACUUGUGUAGAUAUUUUCAAACAAAGGAUCUUGGAAGUCUCAAAUACUUCUAAGGCGUUGAAGUAGCGCAAUCAAAAGAUGGAGUUGUAAUCUCCCAAAGGAAGUAUGCUCUUGAUAUAUUACAAGAAACAGGCAUGAUUAAUUGCAGACCGAUAGACAAUCCCAUGGACCCAAACCAGAAAUUAAGGAUAGAAGAAGGUGAAUUAUUUUCCGAUCUAGAGAGGUAUAGGAGGCUGGUUGAAAAACUGAUUUAUCUCACUAUUACAAGGCCAGAUCUAUCCUUUGUAGUUGGAGUGGUUAGUCAGUUCAUGCAGGCUCCAUGUGUNGACCAUUGGAAUGCUCUCAUUCGCAUUCUAAGGUAUAUCAAAAAGGCUCCCGGGCAAGGAUUGUUAUAUGAAGAUAAAGGAAGUAUUCAGGUCUUUGGGUAUUGUAAUGCAUGACUAUUGAUAGACAGUCUACUACAGGAUAUUGUGUUUUUCUGGGAGGAAACAUUAUUUCAUAGAAAAGUAAGAAACAGAGUGUAGUAGCUCGAUCAACCAUUGAAGCCAAGUAUAGAGCGAUGGCGUCACUCACAUGUGAACUUAUAUGGGUGAAACAAUUCCUUCAAGAGCUUAACUUUUGUGACAUCCAUACUAUGAAGAUGUAUUGCGAUAAUCAAGCUGCUUUCCACAUUGCAUCAAAUCUAGUGUUUCACGAGAGGGCUAAACAUAUAGAAAUUGAUUGUCAUUUUGUUCAUGAAAAAUUGUUGACUAAAGAAAUAUGUAUUGAGUUUGUUGGGUCAAAUAAUCAACUUGCAGAUGUGUUGACCAAGUCAUUAAGGAGUCCUCGUAUUGAGUUUAUUUGUUCAAAGCUUAGUACAUACAAUUUGUAUGCUCCAGUUUAGGGGGAGUGUUAGAUAUAUUAUAUAUUUAUCUUUCAUCUUUAGUUAGGUUGUUAUUUUUUCUUAUUUGUAUUUUGAGCUUAGCCCAUAUUCCUCUAUUAUAAAUAAAGGGUCCUAUGUGUAUAUUCAACACGAGAGAGAUUAAUCUUAUAUUCAACUCAUGAAAAAACAAUAAUAAAUUAUAUUUAUGAAUUAUCAGUUGCUGCUACCAAAGCUUUUGUUUUUGCUUAAUCGUGCAAUUCUGCAAGGAACCAUAGGUAGUGCUCUAACAUAGGAAACAAAAUUCACGGAUGGUAACAAUUGCCUCUUAUAAUUACAAGUUAUAACAAAAAAAUACGUAGAACUACAACUAAUCUAUCCAUUAUAAUUUCAUAAGUUUGAAAUAUUGAUUCAUAUGGAGGAAAGUGAAAAUUCUGAGCCGAUGUAUUUUUAUUUUAACGAAGUUUAUCAGAACUCGAUUUAAAAUUAAGUAGAAUGGAAAUAAUGGGAAUGGUUGUGCACAACUCUCAAGAUUAAAAUCAGGGAGGUUACAUUGCAAGUCAGAGACAGGAAAAUAAAGAACAAGUAAAAAGAAAGAGAAAAAUCUCCCUCCAGGAAAGUCGAAACUCGUGACUCUUCCUCUUUUUAUCCUCCACAGCUGAACCAACUUUCUCUCUCUCUCCUGUUGCUAAAACUUAACUAACUGACAGAAUCCUAGUUUUCGUUCAACUGACAAUUGUAUUCACUAAAUCCUCUAAUUCCCUCUGUUCUUUAAUUCUUUCUAGUAUACAGUAUACACUCUCUUACUUGGGGUCUGGUAUCGUGGUUGGCGUCCACGUUAGAUGAACUAAGUGUCUAGAGAAUAGUGAAACUUGGGAGCUUGUCCCAUUAUUGUCUAGAAAAUCUAUUGUUGGUUGCAAGUGGGAUUUUGCUAUCAAAUUUGGUCUUAAUAGUACCAUUGAUCACCUCAAAGCCCAUCUUGUGGCCAAAGGUUACACAAAUUUUUGGGUUUGAUUAUGGUGAUACUUUUUCUUCAAUUGGCAAAGAUGACUUUUGUUCGUUUAUUUAUAGGCAUGGCUGCUCUUCAACAAUGGCCUCUGUAUCACCUAGAUGUCAAAAAUGUGUUCCUUAAUGGAUAUUUGUAGGAAGAGAUUUAUAUGGAGCAAUCGCCAAGAUUUGUUGCUCAGGAGAAGUCUUCUGGAUUGGUAUGUCAUCUUCACAAUUCUUUAUAUGGCCUAAAACAGUCUCCUAGGACAUGGUUUGGAAAAUUUAGCAGUGUUCGACAAUUUGGUAUGAAACGGUGAGAGGCAAAUCAUUCUGUCUUUUAUCGUCACUUGAGUGCUAGAUAUGUCUACGAGAUAAUAUAUGUUAAUGACAUUGUUCUUAUAGGCAAUAACAACCCUGGCAUCUCCCAGAUGAAAUAACAUCUUUGUCACCAUUUUCGGACAAAAGAUCUUGGAAUACUCAGAUAUUUCUUGGGUAUUGAAGUGUCACAAUCUAACGAUGGUAUUGUUAUAUCUCAAAAUAAGUAUGCAUUGGAUAUUUUGGAGGAAAUUGGGUUGAUGAAUUCAAAAUCUGUUGACACACUCAUGGAUCCUAAUACCAAACUCCUACCAAAUUAGGGGGAGCCUAUGUCAUAUCCUAAGCAGUAUAGAAGAUUAGUUGGAAAAUUAAAUUAUCUUACAGCUACUCAUACUAACAUUUCCUUUGCAGUCAGUGUGGAGAGCCAGUUUCUUAAUUUCCCAUGUGAAGAUCAUUAGAAUGCAGUCAUAUGUAUAUUGAAAUACAUUAAAGGAUCUCCUAGAAAAUGGUUGUUAUAUGGUUCCAAUAACCAUACAAGAGUUGUUUGUUAUUCAGAUGUUGAUUGGACAAGAUCUCCUUCUGAUAGAAGAUCUACCUCCAGAUAUUGUGUCUCCAUUGGUGGUAACUUGAUUUCUUGGAAAAGCAAGAAAUAAAGUGUUGUAGCAAGAUCUGGUGAAAAUAUGGAGCUAUGGCCUGAACCACUUGUGAACUUGUUUGGCCUAAGCAAUUGCUUAGAAAGUUACAGUUUGGAUAUGUUAGUCAAAUGACACUUAUAUGUGACAAUCAGUUCUUCAUAUUAAUUCUAAUCCUGUAUUUCAUGAGAGGACCAAACACAUUGAGAUUGAUUGUCAUUUCAUUUGAGAAAAGAUUAUAGCUAGAGAUAUCAAGACUGAGUUCAUUAACGCAAGUGAUCAGUUAGCUGAUAUUUUUACUAUGUUUUCACAGGGACCAAGAAUUGAUUAUAUUUAUACCAAACUCGGUACAUACAAUCUGAAUGCACCAUACAAUUUGUAUAUACCAGCUUACGGAGGAGUGUUAAAUAUCUUAGAUUAUUAGAUAUCUUAGAUAUCUUAUAUGUCUUUUAUCUUCAGUUACUUAUCUUUUGUUACUUUGUUAUUAUUAUUUAGUUUAUAUUUUGAACUUAGUCCAUAUUUUCUUUAUUAUAAAUAAAGUAACCUAUGUGUAUUUUCUACACAAAGAAGAUUAAUCUCAUACAUAAUUUUCAAUACAUUCAAUACUUAGUAAGAGUACACAUUGAAGUAAUUGUCAUUGGAAUUUUGGUUAUGCGUAUUCCAGUGGAAAAAAUCGUACAGUUUUGGAGCACAAAUCGGACAGAUCAACCACUUCUCAGCUUCAUAAGGUGAAGCAUUUUCCAGUUCAGCCAUUUCCAAAGAGCUUUCAACCAUCUUCUUUGACCAUAUCGUAAUCAGCUCAAAACCUGUACACAACCUAUUCCUAUAUUAAAUGGAAGUGGCAUUUACAUUUCACAAUAAAGAUUGAAAUGGAAAAAUUAGGAUGAAGCUUGCAUGGCUUUUAAUAAUUAAAAACCAGAAUGAAAUUUUGACAUAAAAAUUACAAAAAGACAGACGUAACCAAACAAUAUUGGGACAAAAGUUCUCAAAAUAGAUAGACAUGCAUAAAGAACAAAGUAGAUAUAAAUAAAUAUGGGCUUUAAAUUGACACCGGGUACAGUGGAAAUGGCAAGAAGAGUCACAAGAAACUUAUUUCAGUGAUGAGAAUUUCAUGUAGCGCAUGCAAAAGGCACAUUUUCAGGAAGGCUAUUGGAAAGAGUUAAAAGCAUUUAAUGUACUGAAUCUUUUUUUCUCGUGUAUGCAAAUAAUCCCAUCACACCUGGGCUUCUGUGACUAACAGUGUAGUCAAAGACACCAAAAGGCCAUUGGGCUUCUCUGGCUCAUAAGUGCGAAGAUAUCCAAGAAAUUAAGGGGACCAUUCACGUUAUAUUGCGGUUUCUAUAUGCUAAGCGGCACAAAUAUUUGAAAACUUUUAGUCUUAAAACGUGCUGUAUCUAACAAAAGCAUCCAUGCAAUGACCUAAAACUACUUCAACCUACAUGUUCCCAAUCCCAGGGAUUUACCUUUAACAGGAUCUUCUGCAGAAUACCACUCACUCCAAGGACAAUCAUUAUCCCACAGUGUUUCAUUAGAUGUUUCACCAGUAAGAUUUUCUCCAGAAUUUGUAUUUUGAGCAUCAAUGGCUUUCAUAUUGUAAUCAUCAUGAGCAAGCAUUUUAUAUGUUAACAUCAUUGCAAAUUGCACUUUGAAAAAAUUAGUAGGAAGAUCCAAUGUGGAGUGCACCUUCAGUAUCAAAUGGAAAUUAAUUACUACAGGGAAAGUUCCAGCGACACUGCUGAUUAGAGUCAAUUCAGCAUAGAACUUCUCACCCCAACAUUUAAACAGAAAAUAGAAAGGAGAAAGAGAAUAGAUUGUUAACUCCGUACAAAGCUCACAGCAGACUGUUAAUUCUUUCAUGCAAAUAUAAACGUAAAAUAAAACAUUAAUUAUGAAAAGUGUAGCAUUGCCAACUCUUGAAUGAUAGAUUUCUUUACAUAAGAAAUCAAACAAUCUCGAGCGAUACACUCACACACACCGAGAUUACUAGAAAAGAACAGUUUAUUACUCUUGCAAUCAAAGAAUACAAUGUAUAUGUCCAAACACUCACAAGGGAACACUUUCCCUUCACAAUGGAUACAAUGGUCCUGUCUAUGCAAAUGAAUUAACAAACAUGUCUGUCACCAGACACCCCCACCCUCUUAUAAAGGCAAUCCAACCAGCUAACCAAUUUCUAACUACCCCACAAGCCUCCUAACCGCCUAACAACCUACAACCUCCUAAUUAAUUUCUUUUCCUCCUCUCACAUACUUUUAAAACCCUGUCAUAUUUUUUCAUUUAUUUAUAUACCCAUUUAUCAUAUUUUAUCUCUAGUUACCCUCUCCAUGGCACAGGCCGCCCUUGGGAGAGAGUUUAAUGAAUUGGUAACAGUUACAAGCCCCUCAUUGUGUAGGAACAAAAAAAAAUGUAUAUGCGAUACUUAAUGAGGCUGUCUCACUUAAUGAACUAGUCUUUUUAGGUCGGGUUCUACUUAUGAACUCUAGUCAUGACAGUGACCCACUUAUUUCAGAUCAGUAAUUAUACCAGGAUCAGUUUAAGAGUGUGAAUUUAUGGAAGAACAAUGCACAAAGAGUAUAGCUGAUUAAAAAUUUAUUGAAAAGCCACAAAGAUUGAGAAAAAAAUUCAAUAAGUAUUUAAUAAACAGCAUGGAUCAGGAACUCACAAACUUAGAUACAAACAACUCAUACAAGCCUUCCAAAUGCAUCAGUCUUCUCGGAACCUGACUACAAAUCCCAUCUGCUUCAAACCUUCUAGUAAAUACAGUACCCAUGUUCUGAAUUCCAAUGUAUGCUUUACGUGAAGGAUCAUGAACUGGAACAAAUGCUGCCCAUAAACUACAUAAUAUUAUAAGAAACUACACCAAAUAAAAUAAUAACUUUUCCAAUAAGAAUAAUAGAAAUUACACUCACCCUUGUGCUUUACUCUUAUUACACCUAAUAACCGUCAUUUAUGUAUUAAUAUAUAAAGAAGAUACUAACUAUUAUGACUGUUUUGGUCCACACAUUUUUUACAAUUUUACCCCUUUAUUAUAGCUGUUUUUCUGUUUUUUCUAUUAUGGUAAUUGUUAUUUUAAUUAUGUAACCGAAGUGCGCAAGAAAGCUUAGUUUAAAAGUAUAAUAAAUAUAUAAUUACAAUUGUGUAAAUCCAAAUUAAAAUCACAUUUGUUAGAAUUGUCAAGAUAAAAAAUUAUAAAUUAUUUGCAUUAUAAAAAUAUUUGUGUUUUAUUGCUUAGAUACUUCCUCGAUAAAUUAUGGGUAAAAUAUCCUAGGGUAUUAGAUAUGGAUAUGUAUGGGAAACAGAUACAUGAUAAAAGUGAAGUAUCAGUGCUUUAUAAAAAACUUGAAGAAAUUAAAAAAAUAUCAGAUGGGUAGGUUCACAGUAGGUACAGGAAGGCAAAAAAGAUGCUGCCAGCGAGUGGGUCUUGCUAGAGAAGUUUCAAGCAUGUAUUUGGGAAUGAAGAUUGGGCCAUGUGGCAAAAUUGAGUGCACAGAAAGAUUGAUCAAUUCAUAGGCGAAUUCAGUGAUCAAGUUGUCGUAUCAUCAAUUAUGAAUUAUUUGUAUUGGUUUACACUUGUAUACUUACCAGUAUAACUCUAGAUUUUAUUUACUAUUAUUCUACUUUAAUCUUUAACAUCAUUCUACUUGCAGAAAAUUCUUAUUUUUCAGGAGGGACUCAGAUUUAGAAUGGAAAAGUUACAAUAAAUUUGCUUAAUUUUUCUUCCAACUUUUUCUCAAAUGUGCAGGCUUACAAUUAUGUGAGGUGGGUAUGACCAAAUUGCCAUCCUUACAUAGUAUGCGCCCCCUCCCCUCCAUUAAACAGCUCUAAGUUACAGUUCUAAUUUAAAUGACCAAAUUGUCCUAUCUAUUUUGUGCAAAACCUAGGGUUUCGAAAAGGGAAACAAGGAUUCUAGACUUUGUAAGCGAAAGUGUUGGCUUGGAAAAAAGAUGGUCAUAGAGGAAGUGUUGCAAAGGAAGGUUAGAGAAAGCAUUGUCAGCUUCCCUUUCUAAAGUUUUAUUUGACAUCUAGAAGAGUUGCAUCUGAAGGACAUGUUGACUUCAUGGUUGGGGUAUGAGCAAAAAGAGGAUGAACUUGUGGGAUCAAAAUCAUAUUGCAAACUUUUCCUUAUCUUUAUGUUCUCCAUAGACUUAUUCAAAUUUAAACACAUUAG
rnacentral:lncRNA from 1 species